UAUAUUCCACAAUGGGCGAAAGCCUGAUGCAUCAACGCCUCGCGAGUGAUGAAGUCCUUCGGGUCGUAAAGCUCUUUGAUCAGGGAUGAUAAUGACAGUACCUGAAUAACAAGCGACUGCUAUCUCAGUGCCAGCAGCCGCGGUAAUACGUAGGUGGCGAGCGUUCUCCGGAAUUACUGGGCGUAAAGGAUGCGUAGGUGGAUACUUAAGUGGGAUGUGAAAUCCCCGGGCUCAACCCGGGAACUGCAUUCCAAACUGGGUAUCUAGAGUGCAGGAGAGGAAAGCGGAAUUACUAGUGUAGCGGUGAAAUGCGUAGAUAUUAGGAGGAACACCAGUGGCGAAGGCGGCUUUCUGGACUGUAACUGACACUGAGGCAUGAAAGCGUGGGUAGCAAACAGG
rnacentral:rRNA from 1 species